AGCUUUGGUUCUCUUGUCUGCAAGUGCUUACCUUAUUUGACUAUGGCUGGAACAGAAGUCAUACUUAACCUCCCGGGUCCAGUCAUAAGCAUAGAAGGAUAAUUCCUGGAAACCAGCUGUCAUGAGCUUAGCAGAACCUGCAAUUCCAACUGACGCUUUGAGGACUUCCUUUCCUUUGGAACUUUCUUCUCUGGCAGGAGCCAGCAGCCUCCUCUCCAAGGAGGUUGGAUGCCAAGGUCAUUAGAGUUAAAGAUCAGUGGUAGAGAGAGGUUCAGUUUAUCUGGAUUUCAACUAGAAUUUUGAUCAGUUCAAACAAAGAAAGAUCGUAUGGAGAAUCUGGAAGAACAGUGUGGCCUGGAUGAUGGUCGUCUUUCAUCUGAUUAACCUCACUGGCUAAGUCCAGGCUGCAAGCCCCGGAAGGUCAAGUCACAUAAGCCAGGUACACUUCUGCUGGCCUCAUCAGUGAUGACCACCUACCG